rnacentral:tRNA from 1 species
GCCCGAGUGGCCGAGCGGUUCUAGGCACUACAGUCUGGAACACUAUGGUCGCAGGUUCGAAUCCUGCCUCGGGCA